CGAUGAACACUAGGUGUCGGGGGAAUCGACCCCCUCGGUGUCGUAGCCAACGCGUUAAGUGUUCCGCCUGGGGAGUACGCACGCAAGUGUGAAACUCAAAGGAAUUGACGGGGGCCCGCACAAGCGGUGGAGUAUGUGGUUUAAUUCGAUGCAACGCGAAGAACCUUACCAGGGUUUGACAUCCUGCGAACCCCCUGGAAACGGGGGGGUGCCUUCGGGAACGCAGUGACAGGUGGUGCAUGGCUGUCGUCAGCUCGUGUCGUGAGAUGUUGGGUUAAGUCCCGCAACGAGCGCAACCCACGUCGUUAGUUGCCAGCAUUCAGUUGGGCACUCUAGCGAGACCGCCGGUGAUAAACCGGAGGAAGGUGUGGAUGACGUCAAGUCAUCAUGCCCCUUACAUCCUGGGCUACACACGUACUACAAUGCUACGGACAAAGGGUUGCAAGCUCGCGAGAGUUAGCUAAUCCCAUAAACCGUGGCUCAGUUCAGAUCGUAGGCUGCAACUCGCCUACGUGAAGGAGGAAUCGCUAGUAAUCGCAGGUCAGCAUACUGCGGUGAAUACGUUCCCGGGCCUUGUACACACCGCCCGUCACACCAUGGAAGUUGGCCACGCCCGAAGUCGUUACUCCAACCCGUAAGG
rnacentral:rRNA from 1 species